GCGGUGGGGGAUAGACGGUGCCAGCCGCCGCGGCCACACCGGCAGCACGAGUGAUGACCGUUCUUAUUGGGCCUAAAGCGUCCGUAGCUGGCCACGCAAGUCUAUCGGGAAAUCCGCGCGCUCAACGCGCGGGCGUCCGGUGGAAACUGUGUGGCUUGGGACCGGAAGAUCCAAAGGGUACGUCCGGGGUAGGAGUGAAAUCCCGUAAUCCUGGACGGACCACCGGUGGCGAAAGCGCUCUGGAAAGACGGAUCCGACGGUGAGGGACGAAAGCUCGGGUCACGAACCGGAUUAGAUACCCGGGUAGUCCAAGCUGUAAACGAUGUCUGCUAGGUGUGCCACAGGCUACAAGCCUGUGGUGUGCCGUAGGGAAGCCGAGAAGCAAACCGCCUGGGAAGUACGUCCGCAAGGAUGAAACUUAAAGGAAUUGGCGGGGGAGCACAU
rnacentral:rRNA from 2 species